CGUUGAUUAUGACCGGUCACAUCAUGUCCGUCAGUCCUUACAUGCGGUCCCACCCCAUUCUCAGGGCAAUUGGAUAAUCAAGGGUUAGAGAAAAAAAUAUAUAUAUGCUCAUGGAAUCACCUCCUAAAAUGCCAAUCCAGCAGCCUUCCGAGUUUAUCCACAUAUCAAGAAUUCAAAGUACCAGUUGGGACUCCACAGUCUGCUGCUCACCAAUUUCUCCAUGCCAGUCCUAGCUACCUUCACUUUAUUGUGCAUUUUAAUAGCAAUAGAAGUUUCACAUAUUUGGCCAAAUUCAUAUAAUUGAAAUGCAUGUGAAUUUAUUAAUAUCUGCGGAGUACUAAUGUUUUCUUUUGAAUCUGAAAAAUUUUAGAUUCUUGAAAGCAAAACAAAUACUAGUGGAUUUAAUUUAAUGAAAAAGAGGUGAUUGGUUUUUGACGUGAUGGGUGAAAAUUACCAUCUUCUAAAUUCAACCCCAUUAAAAAUUCCCUAGCUGGUUACAGUUAGUUUCAGAUGCUCAAUUUUUCAUGAAAGGGAAUUACCCACUACAAAGAGAAAUCCAGACAGCUGUUAAUGGCUGAAAUUGUGGUACAGAUGGCAAUGCAUGAGAAACAGUAACGAAGCAUUAUUGACUUAGCAUACAUUUACUAAGGAAGUUAAUUAAAGGGGCCCCGAGAAUUACUGUAGUAGCAGGGACAGACAGAUAAAAGAGAGAGCAAAGAGUAGCAGACCUGGUUGCUGCAUGGUCACAGCUAUCAACUGAGACCCAAAAAGAAAGAAGAAAAACACUGGGGAAUAAAUUUUUCUGCUCAAGAGAAAAGCCUCACUGUUUUUAUCCCCAAACUUGUGCGGGUGCUAUAGGUAGUAGAGCUGUUUUCUUGUAAAAGGAUAAAAGGGUAAAGACAUAAGUAUUUUACAGGGGCAGCACUGGUGUGAAUGGAAUCCAAAGGCAGAGAGAGAGAAAUGGAAGCAUAUGGGAUGGUGGGCAGGGGUGGUGGUGUUGCGCUGUGUAAACGUGAUUCGUUGAAAGCAAUCUUUUUCAUCUGAGCUGCAAUUUCCGCGCGUGAAGGGAUUGGUGGAAGCUGGUUUUUCUUAUCAGAAAAACAGAAAGCCUCCUUAAAGUCAUAAUAUUUGCAUAUGCAUCUUUAUCCACUUCACACGAUCAGGCCUGUGCUUCUCUCUCUCUCUCUCUCUUUCAUGCAUCUUAUUAAGUUAAUAGUUUAUUUCUUUCUAUUAUAUCUCUCCAUAUUCCUUAUUAAUUCUUCCAUAUUUUAUUCUGUUCCUAUUCUAAAAUUUUAUUUUUAUCCUAGCUAACUUUGUCUGUUCAGGUGUAACUUGUAAGUAAGCCUAUGGUUACACAAAUCUUUUUGCAUCUGGAUGUUUCGUCGUAUAUAAUUAUUUUCCUUUCCAUUUUUGUUGUGUUUGUAGUUCUGCCAGUUUACCUUUGGGGUUAAGACAUUGCAUGAUCAGGUUAUAAUUUCCUGCUUGCUCAACCAUCCUGGAAGAUUGGACAUAUAAAAAAGUCAGGAGUGAGCACCUAAUAAUGCAUCUAUAGUCAGUUAGCUUAUGCAAAGACAGGCUUUCGAUCAUAAGCUUUUAGCUUAUACAAAUUGUUAAUUCAAUUUACAAGUAGCUAGCUAGCUAUGCUUUGACACAGCACUGACUUUCCAACAAUCAUUAGCAUGCAUUAUUUCUGUACAAGAAAAUUUACUAACGAGAAAGCUGGUGUUUUGAAAGGUAUCAGGUACGCAGAUGAUCAGAUGGUUUGAUUGCUUCCAUCCCUAGGCCAUAAUGAUGAGAUUGGUUUUGAAGCUUCAUAAUUCUCUAACCAGAAACAUGCUAAAUUUGCUCCCUAUAUAGACAACAAUUUACGUGGAUGGACAAACAGUGUCAUAUGUCAGUUCCAAAUUUAAAAUGAGCAGUAAUAAUAUCUCUUCUCUGGGCUUUAUUGGUGCCUGAAAGCUCUGAUAAAAGGCGCAGAAGCCAUGCCUCUGGCUCUGCUGCCACCUCCAAUUGGAGUAAGAAGAUUGAAGUAAAAAGAAAAAGAUGGUUUAGUGAAAAUGGCAGCAGCAAGAUUGAGGAAUAGUUUUGUAAGGGGUAAAGAAAAUGAGGAUGGUAUGGAGCAUUCCUGUCUUUAACUUGCUGUAGAAUGCCCUUCCAAAAGGUCCAAGUUCUCUGUUUCAUGAACAGACUCAGAUCAUGUCCAACAAUUUGUUUUAAACAGAAAUAUUG
rnacentral:sRNA from 1 species